rnacentral:lncRNA from 1 species
GGUGAGAGAGAUGGUGUCCGUUCUGGACCUUGAUGUUCUAUUUUACCCUUGUCCUUAGAAGGGGCCAACAUUUCGUCGAAAGGUUUUAGAGAUGGGAGGGAAGACACGGUUCCCUUACAUUCAGUCCUAACAGUAAUAUUUGGUAAUCUUUUCUCCAAUAGUAUUUCCCCACUCGGCAAAAUAAUAUUGAAUUUAUUUUUGUUGCCGCAUUGUAGCACUGGCAUAACAUCUAAAUUAUGUAAGUUAGAUAUUAGCCAAUGCAUGCGUCUGUGCUAAAUAUAAGACUUGGGAAUUCUGUGUUUAAUUGUAUUGUUGUUUAAAAUACACCGAGUCUUGACACAGAUCGUCAUCGUGCAAUUCAAUGCCAUAUAAUUCCAUAAUACUAUUCAUGUUUCUCCUUUUUACUACUCUUAAUCAGGGACUGUUUUCCCACGUCCAAAUAUGAACCUAUCUACCGUCCCAACAUUUAUAUAUCAUUUGAAUACAUAAACAAAUUGUAGUUGGAGAAAUCCAGUGGGAAUAUGUUUGGUAAGUUCAUUAUUGAUAUUAAAGUCACUCGCGUGUGGCAGAAAAUGAUUAAUAGCAAUAGCGGACGCAUUAUACCAAAGCCGCUAUAUACAAAUGCAACGCAAAAGACAUAGCGUUAGAGGUGCGCUAUCGCAAUAGUGGACGCAAUAGUGGGUGUAGCGAACGCUAUUUAAAACCUUGCCUCUAGACAUAUGGUUAUUGUGAGACUUAAAGACAUAAUAUUCUCAAGUUAGUAGGAUAGACAUAAUAUUCUCACUACGGCUAUCGUUGAUGCCUCCUGUUCAGAUACAAUUAAGUUUUCAUGUCUCUCACUUGAGCUGUGUGUGAUAUGGC